UAUUGGGCAAUGGGCGCAAGCCUGACCCAGCGACGCCGCGUGAGGGAAGAAGGUCUUNNNAUUGUNAACCUCUUUGACAGGGGNCGANGUAAGUGACGGUACCCUGAAAACAAGCCACGGCUAACUACGUGCCAGCAGCCGCGGUAAUACGUAGGUGGCGAGCGUUGUCCGGAAUUACUGGGCGUAAAGCGCGCGUAGACGGCUUAGUAAGUCAGAUGUGAAAGACCCGGGCUCAACCUGGGGGCGGCAUCUGAGACUGUUGAGCUUGAGUGCAGGAGAGGCAAGUGGAAUUCCCAGUGUAGCAGUGAAAUGCGUAGAGAUUGGGAGGAACACCAGUGGCGAAGGCGACUUGCUGGACUGUAACUGACGUUGAGGUGCGAAAGCUAGGGGAGCAAACGGG
rnacentral:rRNA from 1 species